rnacentral:rRNA from 1 species
UGAGUAACCUGCCCUCCACUCUGGGAGUAAGCCCGGGAAACUGGGUCUAAAUACCGGAUAUGACCUCC